rnacentral:rRNA from 1 species
GCAGUCGAGCGAGCUUGCCUAGAUGAAUUUGGUGCUUGCACCAAAUGAAACUAGAUACAAGCGAGCGGCGGACGGGUGAGUAACACGUGGGUAACCUGCCCAAGAGACUGGGAUAACACCUGGAAACAGAUGCUAAUACCGGAUAACAACACUAGACGCAUGUCUAGAGUUUAAAAGAUGGUUCUGCUAUCACUCUUGGAUGGACCUGCGGUGCAUUAGCUAGUUGGUAAGGUAACGGCUUACCAAGGCAAUGAUGCAUAGCCGAGUUGAGAGACUGAUCGGCCACAUUGGGACUGAGACACGGCCCAAACUCCUACGGGAGGCAGCAGUAGGGAAUCUUCCACAAUGGACGCAAGUCUGAUGGAGCAACGCCGCGUGAGUGAAGAAGGGUUUCGGCUCGUAAAGCUCUGUUGGUAGUGAAGAAAGAUAGAGGUAGUAACUGGCCUUUAUUUGACGGUAAUUACUUAGAAAGUCACGGCUAACUACGUGCCAGCAGCCGCGGUAAUACGUAGGUGGCAAGCGUUGUCCGGAUUUAUUGGGCGUAAAGCGAGUGCAGGCGGUUCAAUAAGUCUGAUGUGAAAGCCUUCGGCUCAACCGGAGAAUUGCAUCAGAAACUGUUGAACUUGAGUGCAGAAGAGGAGAGUGGAACUCCAUGUGUAGCGGUGGAA